rnacentral:rRNA from 1 species
GACGAACGCUGGCGGCGUGCCUAAUACAUGCAAGUCGAGCGGACUUUCAAGAAGCUUGCUUUUUGAAAGUUAGCGGCGGACGGGCGAGUAACACGUGGGCAACCUGCCUGCAAGACGGGGAUAACUCCGGGAAACCGGGGCUAAUACCGGAUAAUAUCUUCCUUCGCAUGAAGGAAGGUUGAAAGGCGGCGCAAGCUGCCGCUUGCAGAUGGGCCCGCGGCGCAUUUGCUAGUUGGUGAGGGAACGGCUCACCAAGGCGACGAUGCGUAGCCGACCUGGGGGGGUGGUCGGCCACCCUGGGACUGGGACACGGCCCAGACUCCUACGGGAGGCAGCAGUAGGGAAUCUUCCGCAAUGGACGAAAGUCUGACGGAGCAACGCCGCGUGAGCGAAGAAGGUCUUCGGAUCGUAAAGCUCUGUUGUCAGGGAAGAACAAGUACCGUUCGAACAGGGCGGUACCUUGACGGUACCUGACCAGAAAGCCACGGCUAACUACGUG